rnacentral:tRNA from 1 species
UCGGGAUAGAUCAGCUGGUAGAGCAGAGAA